ACAGAGGUCGCAAGCGUUGUUCGGAAUUACUGGGCGUAAAGGGAGCGCAGGCGGCCAGGUCAGUCUGGAGUGCAAGCCCGGGGCUCAACCCCGGAAUUGCUUUGGAUACUACUUGGCUUGAGUACGUCAGAGGUGAGCGGAAUUCCAGGUGUAGCGGUGAAAUGCGUAGAUAUCUGGAGGAACAUCGGUGGCGAAAGCGGCUCACUGGGACGACACUGACGCUGAGGCUCGGAAGCGUGGGGAGCGAACAGGA
rnacentral:rRNA from 1 species